GAUGAACGCUGGCGGCGUGCCUAACACAUGCAAGUCGAACGGAGAUUACGGACGUAAGUUUUCGGAUGGAAGACUGUAAUUCUUAGUGGCGGACGGGUGAGUAACGCGUGGGCAACCUGCCCUAUACAGCGGGAUAGCAGCUGGCAACGGCUGGUAAGACCGCAUAAGUCGGUUAAAUCGCAUGAUUUGAUCGGGAAAUGAGCAAUCAGGUUUAGGAUGGGCCCGCGUCCGAUUAGCCAGUUGGCAGGGUAAAAGCCCACCAAAGCGACGAUCGGUAGCCGGACUGAGAGGUCGGGCGGCCACAUUGGGACUGAGACACAGCGCAAACUCCUACGGGAGGGAGCAGUGGGGGAUAUUGCACAAUGGAGGAAACUCUGAUGCAGCGACGCCGCGUGAGUGAAGAAGUAUUUCGGUAUGUAAAGCUCGAUCAGCAGGGAAGAUGAUGACGGUACCUAACUAAGAAGCCCCGGCUAACUACGUG
rnacentral:rRNA from 1 species